rnacentral:tRNA from 1 species
GACGGGGUGGCCGAGUUGGUUAAGGCGAUGGACUGCUAAUCAAUUGGGGUUUCCCCGCGUGGGUUCGAAUCCCAUCCCCGUCG